GGGCCCGCACAAGCAGUGGAGUAUGUGGUUUAAUUCGAAGCAACGCGAAGAACCUUACCAGGUCUUGACAUCCGACUAACGAAGCAGAGAUGCAUUAGGCGCCCUUCGGGGAAAGUCGAGACAGGUGGUGCAUGGUUGUCGUCAGCUCGUGUCGUGAGAUGUUGGGUUAAGUCCCGCAACGAGCGCAACCCCUGCCAUUAGUUGCUACGCAAGAGCACUCUAAUGGGACCGCUACCGACAAGGUGGAGGAAGGUGGGGACGACGUCAAAUCAUCAUGCCCCUUAUGACCUGGGCUACACACGUACUACAAUGGCCAUCAACAGAGGGACGCAAGACCGCGAGGUGGAGCUAAACCCUAAAAAAUGGUCUCAGUUCAGAUUGUAGGCUGCAACCCGCCUACAUGAAGACGGAAUUGCUAGUAAUCGCGGAUCAGCAAUGCCG
rnacentral:rRNA from 1 species